AUUGAACGCUGGCGGCAUGCUUUACACAUGCAAGUCGAACGGUAACAGCACUUCGGUGGCUGACGAGUGGCGAACGGGUGAGUAAUACAUCGGAACGUGCCUAGUAGUGGGGGAUAACUACUCGAAAGAGUAGCUAAUACCGCAUGAGAUCUAAGGAUGAAAGCAGGGGACCUUCGGGCCUUGCGCUACUAGAGCGGCUGAUGGCAGAUUAGGUAGUUGGUGGGAUAAAAGCUUACCAAGCCGACGAUCUGUAGCUGGUCUGAGAGGACGACCAGCCACACUGGGACUGAGACACGGCCCAGACUCCUACGGGAGGCAGCAGUGGGGAAUUUUGGACAAUGGGCGCAAGCCUGAUCCAGCAAUGCCGCGUGUAGGAUGAAGGCCUUCGGGUUGUAAACUGCUUUUGUACGGAACGAAAAGCCCUCUUCUAAUACAGGAGGGUCAUGACGGUACCGUAAGAAUAAGCACCGGCUAACUACGUG
rnacentral:rRNA from 1 species